GACGAACGCUGGCGGCGUGCCUAAUACAUGCAAGUUGAGCGCUGAAGGUUGGUACUUGUACCAACUGGAUGAGCAGCGAACGGGUGAGUAACGCGUGGGGAAUCUGCCUUUGAGCGGGGGACAACAUUUGGAAACGAAUGCUAAUACCGCAUAAAAACUUUAAACACAAGUUUUAAGUUUGAAAGAUGCAAUUGCAUCACUCAAAGAUGAUCCCGCGUUGUAUUAGCUAGUUGGUGAGGUAAAGGCUCACCAAGGCGAUGAUACAUAGCCGACCUGAGAGGGUGAUCGGCCACAUUGGGACUGAGACACGGCCCAAACGCCUACGGGAGGCAGCAGUAGGGAAUCUUCGGCAAUGGACGAAAGUCUGACCGAGCAACGCCGCGUGAGUGAAGAAGGUUUUCGGAUCGUAAAACUCUGUUGGUAGAGAAGAACGUUGGUGAGAGUGGAAAGCUCAUCAGGUGACGGUAACUACCCAGAAAGGGACGGCUAACUACGUG
rnacentral:rRNA from 1 species